UUUCCAAAAUAAGUGCAGUCGUAAAUAUCCGUACCCAACGUUUGACUAUCCGUCUUAUUUAAAAAUUUUAUGAAAAAUUUAAAAAUAUUUAGUCACACAUAAAGUAUUAUUCAUAUUUUAUCAUCUAAGAGUAAUAAAAAUACUAAUCAUAAAAAAAUUUCAAAUAAGACGAACGGUCAAAUAUUGAACGUGAACAGUGUAAAUGUGUACUUAUUUUAGGACGGAGGGAG
rnacentral:pre_miRNA from 1 species